UCUUUGUGGUUUCCAAGUGGUUUGAGGUUUAGAAAAGCUUGAAGAGAUUGUUUUCGCCGAAAAGUUGCUCGGUAAAGAAAGAAAUGAGUGAAUGACAUAAGGAGAACUGAAGCAUGGUCCUGACCCUGAUUUGUACAUAUGAACACAUCGACCUCUUGUGGGUUAUUUCAGUUUAUCAUUGUGUAUGUUUGUAAUAAAGUGUGGAUUUAUGUUUUGAAAACAAAUUGGGUUAUUUAAUACUUAUGUAUAAUAUGUUUGAGACA